rnacentral:rRNA from 1 species
AACCGGAUUAGAUACCCUGGUAGUCCACGCCCUAAACGAUGUCAANUAGGUGUUGGGAGCGCAAGUUCUCAGUACCGCAGCUAACGCGUGAAGUUGACCGCCUGGGGAGUACGGUCGCAAGAUUAAAACUCAAAGGAAUUGACGGGGACCCGCACAAGCGGUGGAUGAUGUGGAUUGAUUCGAUGCAACGCGAACAACCUUACCUACCCUUGACAUGUCUGGAAGGCUGCUGAAAGGUGGCUGUGCCCGAAAGGGAACCGGAACACAGGUGCUGCAUGGCUGUCGUCAGCUCGUGUCGUGAGAUGUUGGGUUAAGUCCCGCAACGAGCGCAACCCUUGUCCUUAGUUGCUACGCAAGGGCACUCUAAGGAGACUGCCGGUGACAAACCGGAGGAAGGUGGGGAUGACGUCAAGUCCUCAUGGCCCUUAUGGGUAGGGCUUCACACGUCAUACAAUGGUCGGUACAGAGGGUAGCCAACCCACGAGGGGGAGCCAAUCCCAGAAAGCCGAUCGUAGUCCGGAUCGCAGUCUGCAACUCGACUGCGUGAAGUCGGAAUCGCUAGUAAUCGCGGAUUCAG